CGCCCGUCGCUCCUACCGAUUGGAUGUGCUGGUGAAGCGUUCGGAUUGGCGGUAUGCGGUGGUCUCCGCCGUGCAUCGCCGAAAAGUUCGUUAAACCCUCCCAUCUAGAGGAAGGAGAAGUCGUAACAAGGUCUCC
rnacentral:rRNA from 1 species